rnacentral:rRNA from 1 species
UCGGGAAUAUUGGACAAUGGGCGCAAGCCUGAUCCAGCCAUGCCGCGUGUGUGAAGAAGGCUUUCGGGUUGUAAAGCACUUUCAGUAGGGAGGAAGGCUAGCCGUCUAAUAGGCGGUUAGAUUGACGUUAUCUACAGAAGCAGCACCGGCUAACUCCGUGCCAGCAGCCGCGGUAAUACGGAGGGUGCAAGCGUUAAUCGGAAUUACUGGGCGUAAAGCGCGCGUAGGCGGUUUGUUAAGUCGGAUGUGAAAGCCCUGGGCUCAACCUGGGAACUGCAUCCGAUACUGGCAGGCUAGAGUACGGUAGAGGGGGGUAGAAUUCCACGUGUAGCGGUGAAAUGCGUAGAGAUGUGGAGGAAUACCAGUGGCGAAGGCGGCCCCCUGGACUGAUACUGACGCUAAGGUGCGAAAGCGUGGGGAGCAAACAGG